rnacentral:rRNA from 1 species
GACGAACGCUGGCGGCGUGCUUAACACAUGCAAGUCGAACGGAAAGGCCCUGCUUUUGUGGGGUGCUCGAGUGGCGAACGGGUGAGUAACACGUGAGUAACCUGCCCUUGACUUUGGGAUAACUUCAGGAAACUGGGGCUAAUACCGGAUAGGAGCUCCUGCUGCAUGGUGGGGGUUGGAAAGUUUCGGCGGUUGGGAAUGGACUCGCGGCUUAUCAGCUUGUUGGUGGGGUAGUGGCUUACCAAGGCUUUGACGGGUAGCCGGCCUGAGAGGGUGACCGGCCACAUUGGGACUGGGAUACGGCCCAGACUCCUACGGGAGGCAGCAGUGGGGAAUAUUGCACAAUGGGCGGAAGCCUGAUGCAGCAACGCCGCGUGCGGGAUGACGGCCUUCGGGUUGUAAACCGCUUUCGCCUGUGACGAAGCGUGAGUGACGGUAAUGGGUAAAGAAGCACCGGCUAACUACGUG